UGCAUAUCAAAUAAGCGGAGGAAAAGAAACCAACAGGGAUUGCCUCAGUAACGGCGAGUGAAGCGGCAAAAGCUCAAAUUUGAAAUCCCCCCGGGGAGUUGUAAUUUGAAGAUUGCGUCUUGGAGGCGACCGUGUCUAUGUUCCUUGGAACAGGACGUCACAGAGGGUGAGAAUCCCGUGCGGCACGGCCCCCGGCUCCUUAUAAGGCGCUCUCGACGAGUCGAGUUGUUUGGGAAUGCAGCUCAAAGUGGGUGGUAAAUUCCAUCUAAAGCUAAAUACAGGCGAGAGACCGAUAGCGAACAAGUACAGUGAUGGAAAGAUGAAAAGCACUUUGAAAAGAGAGUGAAACAGCACGUGAAAUUGUUGAAAGGGAAGGGCAUGCCGUCAGAUUGUCAGUGUGGGUAAGAAGCGGGGUACAAAGACUGUGGAACGUGGCCCUCGGGUGUUAUAGCCGCAGUUCAUGCCCCGUCUCUUUCCGAGGCCUGCUUUGAGGACACCGACGUAAUGACGGUACGCCGCCCGUCUUGAAAC
rnacentral:rRNA from 1 species